rnacentral:lncRNA from 1 species
CAAAGCCAGCGGCUGAUAUCAGUCGUGUUUCUGUAUCUGUUUGCUCAGGAGAUGAGAGACCGUGAGAAUCUGCCCGCCACAACGGCAGGUACCUCAGACACCUGAGGCGAAGGCCUUGACAUUUCACCCAGUAGUCCUCCUCUUGUCGUCUCUCAAGACACAGGCAACAAAAGGACAUUCCAAGCACUUGCUUAGGAUGUUCAGUAUCAGUUCUCCUCUUGGGUUCAGAGCAAUUCCAGCAGCAGCGCUCCAUAUCUGACAAAGUCAUUCAUUUUAUAUACCACGGAUGGAAGAUCACACUCUCUCAAUGCCUUUUAAAAACCCCUAGAGCCGAUUGAUGCACCCGUCCAUCACAAGGUGACAUCAUUUUGAAUAUUGAAUAGCUCCCUGUGUUUAUUCUAAUGACUUACCCUUUCUUGUAGUGUUUGGAGCGCAAUCCCCUUUUUCCCCAUAUAAAGUUUGUGCCUAUUCCAUAACAUGGGGCUCGUGAAAGUGAACUUUUCCUGCAUGAGAGCAUCUGGACAAGAAAAUUGUCAAGAAAUCAUCUGUAAAACCCGAACCGUGUGAGCUAUCGAAAGGGGAGACUCUCACAAACAUGACAGUGUCGGUUGUUUGGCUCUACGACAUCGACAAGCUUACAGCCGUCAUCUGAACUCUCUGUUGCGAAUGUACUCAUUUCGAAGAGGUCUUCUCACCAAACCAACUGUCCAGACUGAACCAUGACCUGAGCCCUAGGAUCAUGCCUCAGGACUACCUGGUCUGAGGACUCCUUGCUGUCCCCAGUCCACCUGGUCGUGCUGCUGCCCCAGUUUCAACUGUUCUGCCUCCGGCUAUGGAACCCUGACCUGUUCACCGGACGUGCAACCUUUUCCCAGACCUGCUGUUUUCAACUCUCUAGAGACAACAGGAGCAGUGGAGAUACUCUGAAUGAUCAGCUAUGAAAAGCCAACUGACAUUUACUCCUGAGGUGCUGACCUGUUGCACCCUCUACAACCACUGUGAUUAUUAUUAUUUGACCCUGCUGGUCAUCUAUGAACAUUUGAACAUCUUGGUCAUGUUCUGUUAUAAUCUCCACCCGGCACAGCCAUAAGAGGACUGGCCACCCCUCAUAGUCUGGUUCCUCUCUAGGUUUCUUCCUAGGUUCUGACCUUUCUAGGGAGUUUUUCCUAGCCACCGUGCUUCUACACCUGCAUUGCUUGCUGUUUGGGGUUUUAGGCUGGGUUUCUGUAUAGCACUUUGUGACAUCAGCUGAUGUAAGAUGGGCUUUAUAAAUACAUUUGAUUGACUGAUUGACUGUAUGUUAUGUGGCAAACUCUAAUUACUUACUGAAGAGAGAAAACUUUUAGUAGCCCUUCUGAUACAAGCCUUGCAUUCCAGUUUUUACCUGUUUACCUGUAUUGUAUGACAUUGUAUCACAUUUUCUGCAUGUUUCUGCAUAUGUACCAAGAUGUUCCAAUGCUCCUCAAUCAGAGGAGUUUUUUUUAACUGUGCCUCUUUUCCACUAAGACUUGGAUAGUGGCCAGAACAGAGAAGUGACCCGACUUUAAAGGUCACAGUUCAUUUCACAGCGGCAAGGUAGGGAACUCAGGAUGCCCUCAGGUCAGCAACAUUUGCGUGGUGAUGAUGUCAUAGAGGACAAAGGGUCAGCCAACAGGCCAGUCAUCUGAUAGUGAAGGUGUUAACAGUGACCUCUAACUUGCCGUCGGGCCUCAGAAUGCAUUCCAGCCCUAUACCACAAUAACAUCUAACCCCCAGUGAGUUAAUCUGAGGGCUUUGAUAUAUUACACUCAGGCCCUGAGGACUGUGGACUGUCAAAUAAGAAUGGGAGAAGUAUGCAUGAGUGUGUGUGUGUCCCCCCCCAAAUGGCAGGGCUAUUGGCUAUUGACAAAGACCCGAACUCAUUACAGCAUCAAACGUCAAUGCCUAGCUAUUUUUAGCUAUUGAUUUUGUUUUGAACUAUAUUGCUGUAAAAUCUGAUUGUGGGCUCACUGCAAAAAGUAAAUAGUAGUGUGUUUGAACUUGAUGUUCGGUCAAGUUUUCUUUCUGUUCCCUAGUCCAUUUGUAAUUUAUCUCAUAGGCAUGUUAGGAUUGCAAUCAGAAAAUGUAAUCUGUGCUGUGGUUGAACAGGAAGAAAGACAUAAGCAAAGCUAAUGUUGUGUUGCUGGGCAGAAGAAAGAUAAUGUAUCCCUCUUCCUGAUAUGAGUUCUAUUUAGUUCCUAGGGCCGGUUGGUAGCAGCAGAAAGAGACUUCUAUGGAAAGUUCCACAUUCAAACAUAAAGUCAUCCUAUACAUUUUCCAGCCAAGGUGGGAUGGUGGUGCGUGGAGUGUGUCUCGAUGAGAAAGUUGUGUUGCAUUGGAGUUUAUCCAUGUGUGUGUGUGUGUGUGUGUGUGUGUGUGUGUGUGUGUGUGUGUGUGUGUGUGUGUGUGUGUGUGUGUGUGUGUGUGUGUGUGUGUGUGUGUGUGUGUGUGUGUGUGUGUGUGUCUGUGUCUGUGUCUGGACUCUAUGUGAAUUGAAAUCGUUGCCAUGCUUAUAAGAGCUCAUCUGAGCGUUCAAUAUGGAUAAUUUGAGGGCUCCUAGGAGUGACAGAGUGACUCAGGAGCGAGGAGUGGGAGAGCUGUAAAACAACAGUUACAAAUAGAUGCCCCCAUCAGAGAGAGAGAGAGAGAGAGAGAGAGAGAGAGAGAGAGAGAGAGAGAGAGAGAGAGAGAGAGAGAGAGAGAGAGUGACGGGAGAGAGAUCGAGAGAGAGAGAGAGAGAGAGAGUAAGAGUGACGAGAGAGAGAGAGCGACGGGAGAGAGAGAGAGAGAGAGAAGAGAGAGAAGAGAGAGAGAGAGUAAGAGUGACGGGAGAGAGAGAAGAGAGAGAAGAGAGAGAGAGAGUAAGAGUGACGGGAGAGAGAGAAGAGAGAGAGGCUGGAGGAGAAUGCAAGCUAACUAUGAGGACUACUCAAUGUUGUUCUUCACUCAGUUUGUACAUGGAAAGUAGUAGCCAUAUUCUCAAUAAUGGAACAUUUACACUCCCAUUUUAUAUUUGCUUCUUACCUUGUGCAGGCUACAAACAGGUACACAAUAACCAUUGUAUGUAACAAUGUGUACCCACACUGUUGUUACUAUCUACUUGCUAAUGCAUCUGCUUGGAAAGGGGAUUCAUCACAAACAGAUCCAGCCCAUCAGUUUUGUAGGCAGCAUUGUGUUUGCUAGUAAAGACUGUUGCGCUAGCUAACUAUAACUAUAAAUAAGUGAAUUGUUUACAGAUAUAUUGAGUUAUUAGUGAUGUUGUCAUAGGAUUAGAUGUUGUUAUAGCUGCAAGGUACUUCUCCACACACAACAGGGACAGUACUACAUACAUUUAAAAUAAGAAAAAGAAUAUAGUACUGACAAAACACUGAGAAACAAAGACUUAUGAUCUAGAUUUGUAUACAUAUCAGUUAACAUAAACAUACAAGUUAUUUAGGUCAGAUAGGGGUCAUAUAACCAUCAAGUUAGCC